rnacentral:tRNA from 1 species
CUCUCGGUAGCCAAGUUGGUUUAAGGCGCAAGACUGUAAUUUAUCAAAACGAAAUCUUGAGAUCGGGCGUUCGACUCGCCCCCGGGAGA